UAGGAAUAAAGACAACAUAAAG
rnacentral:piRNA from 1 species